rnacentral:rRNA from 1 species
UACGGGGGGGAGCAAGCGUUGUUCGGAUUUACUGGGCGUAAAGGGCGCGUAGGCGGUCGUGACAAGUCACUUGUGAAAUCUCCGGGCUUAACUCGGAACGGUCAAGUGAUACUGUCGGACUAGAGUACAGAAGGGGCAACUGGAAUUCUCGGUGUAGCGGUGAAAUGCGUAGAUAUCGAGAGGAACACCUGCGGCGAAGGCGGGUUGCUGGGCUGAUACUGACGCUGAGGCGCGAAAGCUAGGGGAGCGAACGGGG